rnacentral:rRNA from 1 species
UACAGAGGGUGCGAGCGUUGUCCGGAAUCACUGGGCGUAAAGGGCGCGUAGGUGGCGACGCAAGUCAGUGGUGAAAGCUCGACGCUCAACGUCGAGUCGGCCACUGAUACUGCAUUGCUGGAGCACUGUAGAGGCAGAUGGAAUUCCGGGUGUAGCGGUGGAAUGCGUAGAGAUCCGGAAGAACACCGGUGGCGAAGGCGGUCUGCUGGGCAGUAGCUGACACUGAGGCGCGACAGCGUGGGGGAGCAAACAGG